rnacentral:rRNA from 1 species
AUGAACGGUUUCCUCUACAAGCACCCUAGCACCAUACUAGCUUCUGAUUUGAAGACUUUGCUUCUCAACCAUGCCGUCCGGUCAUCGGCGAACAUCGUCACCGCUGCUGAGUUCCCUGGCCUCAACACCCUUGGCAUGUCGAUGGCACGGACCGACAUCGAUCCCUAUGAUGUAGUGCUUCCCCACUCUCACCCAAGGGCGUCCGAGAUGAUGUUUGUCCCCAGUGGCAGCGUGCUGGCCGCUUUCUUUGACACCACCGGUAAGCUGUUUCAGAAGAGAUUACGUGAGGGGGAUGUUUUCAUCUUUCCCCGUGGUCUGGUUCACUUUAUCAUGAACUAUGGUCUCCGUCUUGCGACGAUGUUCUCGGUGCUCAGCAGUCAGAACCCUAGUGUGGUUGGAAUCACCCACGCGAUGUUUGCGCCAGAUUCAGAUGUAGUUGAGGGCUGGUGGCCAGAAUGA